UACGUAGGGUGCGAGCGUUGUCCGGAAUUAUUGGGCGUAAAGGGCUCGUAGGCGGUCUGUUGCGUCAGGAGUGAAAACUCGGGGCUUAACCCCGAGCCUGCUUCUGAUACGGGCAGACUAGAGGUAUGCAGGGGAGAACGGAAUUCCUGGUGUAGCGGUAAAAUGCGCAGAUAUCAGGAGGAACACCGAUGGCGAAGGCAGAUCUCUGGGCCGUAACUGACGCUGAGGAGCGAAAGCGUGGGGAGCGAACAGG
rnacentral:rRNA from 1 species